rnacentral:lncRNA from 1 species
CUCUCCCUCCUCUCCCUCCUCCCUCUCUCUCUCUCUCUCUCUCGUUUUUCUCUUCCUUUCUCUUUCUCUCUCACCCUCUCUGUGCAACUCUCUUGGUCAUUCUCCUCUCUCUGUGCAACUCUUUCCUAUCCAGUAUUUUGCUCUGCAAAUUCCAUCCACCUUUGCCUCUGAAUUCUCAACUCCGUCUCCUCAGCGCAGGAAGACCUUCAGACUCCCAGCACGGUGGCCAGGAAACACUCUGCAAGCAACCUGUUGUUUAAGACCCAAACUCUUACUUGAACACUCAGUAUGAAAAACAUGAAAGCAGGCUGUGCACUGUUGGAUUACUGACAUCAUGGAAGCACUGAACCAG